ACUCUGUCUCACUGACCUGUGAGGGAAACUUCACUGAGUGGAGAGUGAGGAAGUUCUCUGAGGACGGCCGACUGUACUCUGACUGUAGGAGAAUGACUGGAUCCACAUGUGACAUCAACACAUCAAAGUCAGAUACUGCAGUGUACUGGUGUGAGUCUGGAUCAGGAGAGUUCAGCAGUGCGGUCAACAUCACUGUACAGAAUGAUGGUAAUGGUCCUAUCCUGGUGAGUCCUGUUCAUCCUGUGACUGAGGGAGCUUCUGUUAGUCUGAGCUGCAGCUUGAGAACACAAAAAAUACUUUCCAAUGUGUUUUUCUAUCACAAUGACAAACUUAUUGAAAAUGAUCCCCGAGGGGAGCUGAAGAUCUCUGCAGUGUCAAAGUCUGAUGAAGGUUUCUACAAGUGUCAGUACUCAGGAAGAGAGUCAGCACAGAGCUGGAUGUCAGUUAAAG